rnacentral:tRNA from 1 species
UAAGUGAAAGCCAAAGGCACCUAUCUGUUAAUUAGGCCCGUGCUAAAUCCAUAGCUCACUUAG